UUAUCAAGUUUGGUCGGUCUCAGUUUUCAGAACUAGAUAUAACGAGAACAAAUAACAAAUAUCAAAAAUAAUUAAAGUAAGAAAUAACACUAUUUACCUUUUCAAAAAAAAAACAUUAUUUAUGUAAACUUUUCAAACUUAACCCAAGAUUGUUAGUUUUAUCGAAAUACACUUGUGAAGUAUGACGAGGAGAUAUGGACAGCAGAGCAGGCCGACCAACUAUAUUUAAAGUGUACAAAGCCCUUUACAGAAUCAGAGAAAAGUUUGAAGUUACGCUUUUAGUGCAAAGAUUAAGUAUAAGCCAU
rnacentral:lncRNA from 1 species